AUACGGAGGAUGCGAGCGUUAUCCGGAUUUAUUGGGUUUAAAGGGGGCGUAGGUGGGAUAUUAAGUCAGCUGUGAAAGUUUGGGGCUCAACCUUAAAAUUGCAGUUGAUACUGGUUUCCUUGAGUACGGUAUAGGUGGGCGGAAUUCGUGGUGUAGCGGUGAAAUGCUUAGAUAUCACGAAGAACUCCGAUCGCGAAGGCAGCUCACCGGGCCGGAACUGACACUGAUGCUCGAAAGUGCGGGUAUCAAACAGGAUUAGAUACCCUGGUAGUCCGCACAGUAAACGAUGAAUACUCGCUGUUUGCGAUACACUGUAAGCGGCCAAGCGAAAGAGUUAAGUAUUCCACCUGGGGAGUACGCCGGCAACGGUGAAACUCAAAGGAAUUGACGGGG
rnacentral:rRNA from 1 species